ACUCCUACGGGAGGCAGCAGUGGGGAAUAUUGCACAAUGGGGGAAAGCCCUCGAUGCAGCCAUGCCGCGUGUGUGAAGAAGGCCUUCGGGUUGUAAAGCACUUUCAGUAGGGAGGAAGGUAGUGUAGUUAACACCUGCACUAUUUGACGCUACCUACAGAAGAAGCACCGGCUAACUCCGUGCCAGCAGCCGCGGUAAUACGGAGGAUCCAAGCGUUAUCCGGAAUCAUUGGGUUUAAAGGGUCCGUAGGUGGAUAAUUAAGUCAGAGGUGAAAUCCUGCAGCUCAACUGUAGAAUUGCCUUUUGAUACUGGUUAUCUUGAGUCAUUAUGAAGUGGUUAGAAUAUGUAGUGUAGCGGUGAAAUGCAUAGAUAUUACAUAGAAUACCAAUUGCGAAGGCAGAUCACUAAUAAUGUACUGACACUGAUGGACGAAAGCGUGGGGAGCGAACAGGAUUAGAUACCCUGGUAGCGAGU
rnacentral:rRNA from 1 species